rnacentral:rRNA from 1 species
AACGAACGCUGGCGGCAGGCUUAACACAUGCAAGUCGAACGCCCCGCAAGGGGAGUGGCAGACGGGUGGGUAACGCGUGGGAACAUACCCUUUUCUACGGAAUAGCUCUGGGAAACUGGAAUUAAUACCGUAUACGCCCUACGGGGGAAAGAUUUAUCGGGGAAGGAUUGGCCCGCGUUGGAUUAGCUAGUUGGUGGGGUAAAGGCCUACCAAGGCGACGAUCCAUAGCUGGUCUGAGAGGAUGAUCAGCCACAUUGGGACUGAGACACGGCCCAAACUCCUACGGGAGGCAGCAGUGGGGAAUAUUGGACAAUGGGCGCAAGCCUGAUCCAGCCAUGCCGCGUGAGUGAUGAAGGCCUUAGGGUUGUAAAGCUCUUUCACCGAUGAAGAUAAUGACGGUAGUCGGAGAAGAAGCCCCGGCUAACUUCGUG